rnacentral:lncRNA from 1 species
GUAUACAUUGUGGCUUAACUUAUAAAUUUAACACUUUUAAAAAUAAAAUGACUUGUAAGAGUUUUUGAAUGCAGAUAUACUUUUUGAUUUUUUAAUUUCACUGAACAGUGAAUUCCACACUUUUGGACCACUAAAAGAAAAACUUGAUUUGUAUAAUUCUUUAUUUGAUUUAGGGACAAUAAAAUUAUCCGAUGAUGAAAGUCGAGUAUUGUACGCUUGUUUACUACUUG